AACGCGCAGGACAAGGACGCGCCGAGCUCACUCCCACUGGGCUGAAGGACGAAAAUGGAACUGCCCGAGUCUUCCUGGUCCUAACGCAGUUACCCAUGCAGAUUAAACCGCUGAAACCAAAGCAAGGAGUUAACUUUAUCUUUUUGUUCCUUUAACUGCUCCUCUCUUUUGCUCCUCCCAUGGUAAGACUCCAUGGAGAAGUGUGCGUCAAGCUGACCACGAUGACUGGGGCAUUGGCCAGCGAAGCGAGGCGAGGCGAAUUUUUUUCCCCCUUCUCCUUUCUUCUCCUUUGUUAAGGCAGGUUUUGCGAUUGUCGUUGUGAUUAUUUAAUGCGUUGCGCUGUUUCGGUUUAGCCUUGGAUUUGGGUCCAGAGACCGCAAGAAAAGGGGAGAGGGAGGGGAGGCUCGAUGUCUGCACUUUAUUCCUCCCUCAAAUGGGAUGCCUUGUGUGCUGUUGUAUCCUGGGACGGAGGUUUAGAACUUGAAGACCUGAAAGAGACAGUCCUCCCUUCCCUGCUGCCCUCUUCUCCGCUCGUCUCCUUGUUCCUCCAUCUCUCGCCUUGCUAGCUACCUGCAUUCCUUUAGCUCCCCGCAAAAUCGGAUUUUGAGCACUUCUGCGGCCGCUUUUCUUCAAAACCAAGGUUCUGGAUCCCAAACCUCUUGAAGAAGGGUCAAAAUCCUUUUUUUUUCUUCUUCUUCUUCUCUCUUUCUUUGCUUUUGAUCUGGGCAGCCGACUGUGUUGUUGAUCUGCUGCUUUCAACCGGUGCAGAAAGCUCAUGAAUAAUAUUGCUAAAUCCUUGGGAAGGUUUGAGUGCUGCAACGAUGAGAGAUGAAAGUUCCAAGAAGAGCAAGCUGUCAUGGUCCAAGGCUGUCAAAAACUGGUUCAACAUCAAAAUCAAAGGUCAGGAGAGCCAUGCUGAUGAUAUGGUUGGCAAGGGUAGUAGACAAUCGAGAGCCAACUUCUCGGAGAGGGAGGCAUGCACAUGCAAGAAAAGUAGAACAGAUAAAUCAUUGCAAAAGGACGUAGAUCAAGUUCAGCGAGGAAGGUUUGAUCUUCAUCCAGCUCAAAUAACAGACAUUCAGGAUUACAAGAUCUUUGUUGCGACUUGGAAUGUGGGUGGAAGGCCUCCGCCAAAGAACUUAAAUCUCUUGGAUUGGAUACAUGCCUCUUCUCCUGCAGACAUAUAUGUUUUAGGGUUUCAAGAGAUUGUUCCACUUAAUGCUGGAAAUGUUCUCGGUACAGAAGACAAUGUUCCAGCUAAGAAGUGGUCGUGGCUUAUUAGGAAGACCUUGAACAGCCCUGACACAUGUGGCUCAGACAGUUACCAUACACCAUCUCCUGUUCCAAUUCCUAUCUCAGAAUUAAAUGCUGAUUUUGAAAGAUCGUCACUGAAGAAGAAGAAUUCAUCAUUUCUCCACCGCCGUUCCUUUCAUUCUCUGAGUCGUAGUUUAAGAAUGGAGGGGAAUACCAUGCUUUCUCACCCCAUGCUGGAUCGCAGGUUCAGUGUUUGUGAAAGAGUUAGCUUUGGAAGCAGACCAAGUGAUUUUGAUCCUAGUUUAAGAGGCGAAGGUCCUGAAGGAUCAUCUGAUGAUGAGACCAUUGACGAGGAGUCACCUACCUCAAUCUUUUUCUCACCAUUUUAUGCUUAUGGAGGUCCUUCAUAUUCCAACAAAAGGGAAAGGUUAUCUGCAAAUUCUAGGUACUGUUUGGUUGCGAACAAGCAAAUGGUUGGAAUAUUUCUUACAAUUUGGGUUCGCAGUGAUAUUAGAGAGGAUGUGAGAAACUUGAAGGUUUCAUGUGUUGGGCGGGGAUUAAUGGGCUAUCUGGGAAACAAGGGUUCUAUCUCAAUAAGUAUGUCACUGCAUCAAACAACCUUCUGCUUUAUCUGUAGUCACUUAACUUCAGGGCAGAAGGAGGGAGACGAGUUACGCAGAAAUUCCGACGUCAUGGAAAUUCUAAGGAAGACUCGAUUUCCCAAGGUCCAGAAAGGUGAUAAUGAAAAAUCUCCUGAAACAAUUCUUGAUCAUGAUCGCAUAGUAUGGCUUGGGGAUCUGAAUUACCGAAUUGCUCUUUCUUAUCGGUCUGUGAAGACUCUGGUUGAGAUGCGUAAUUGGAGAGCAUUAUUGGAAAAAGAUCAGCUUAGGAUAGAACAACGAUGUGGUCGCGUAUUCAAGGGAUGGAAAGAAGGAAGUAUAUAUUUUCCUCCAACAUAUAAAUAUUCAAACAACUCAGAUCGAUAUGCAGGAGAUGACAUGAAUCCUAAAGAGAAGCGACGGACACCUGCAUGGUGCGAUCGCAUAUUAUGGCUAGGAGGAGGUCUUAAUCAGUUGUCUUAUGUCCGAGGAGAAUCCAGGUUCUCUGACCAUCGGCCUGUUUUCAGCAUUUUCACGGCAGAGGUUGAAACAAUCAAUUACAGUCGAUCCAAGGACGCAGGUUAUUGUAGUUCACGUGUAGAGGUGGAAGAACUCUUACCAUACUCACAUGGUUAUGCGGGACUGAACUACAACUUAGAUGUUCAGUAUCACUAGGCAUUCAUAUUAUACCAUUUUGUGAAGCAGAAAGCAGUUCUUUUGAUCAAGCAGAUCGGAAAAGAACAUCCUGAUUUCAAUGCCUACAUGAUCCUAGUGAAGGAUUAGGAGAUUCUGAAAAAAAAAAAUCCAUUCACUGAUGUCUAUUGACCAGUUUUGUUUCUCAUAACAUAAGCAUUCAGACAAGCCAGCUUGACAGUUCUCACAUGAAGAGUACUCCUGAAAUAAAGUGCAACAUCUCUUUUGGCUCCAUCACCAAUCUGAAGCUGCUGAAGUAGAUGCUUUUCUAACCUGAUUCCACUUUACAUUUUGCAGUUAUGAAAAUGAGUGCAGAUAAAUAUUAUUUUUAGAGCGAGUAGUAAAGAAGAUCACAGACAAAUAAUGAUGUGCAUAGUUCUUUUCUGUUUCCAAAGAAAUGGUUGAGCUCUGUUUUCAUACUCAUUACACUGGUGAUAAAGAAUGAAACUAUUGUCUGUUCAGUAA